AACAACAGAAGUGAAACUGAAAUUAGUUCUGUUCUGUCUUGAGUUGGCAGUGUUUCUCCAAUUCCAGUAACUAAUGCAAGGAACUAAAUUUAUAAUACAACUUAAAUUUGAAGACUUCUUCAGGUCUCUUCAGGCAGGACUCUGGCUACAGAAAAUUACCUUGCAGUAGGGACAAGUGACAGAUACCAAUGCCAGGGCUGUUGCAAGGAAGCAGAUAAAACAUGAAGGGAAUAGCAUUAAAUGACUGAACAGAAUCCCCUCUUCUCCUGGCACUGACUUAGCUGUAACAUGGGACUACCUUGUGGAUACCGGGGUUCAGAGUAACUUACUCAGAAUGCAAAGCACUUCAAAACAGAAAUGAUAUUAAGAUCCUUUUCGUUAUGGAUCACGGGGGGACUUUGUUGCAAAGGACUACUUUUGAAGGGAGCCUUCAGUACAGAAGAGAAUAUGAAGCCUUCUAAGCUAGCAAUAAGACUAACAUCAUGGAACAAGUUACAUGGAAAAAUCCUGCUGGACAAUGAACUUAAAUGUCAUCGAAGCAGCAAGUUUCCCAAGUUGCCCUUACAGAUGAUUAAAGCCUGUUUACAGAGGUAAAGAAAAGCCUCUCUCUGAAUCUCCAAUUACUAAACAAGAAAGGAUGUAAGAUGUUUACAACGCAGUCAUCUCAUGUUCUACUUAGAAAACUCACAUACACAAAUAAUAGUAGACGAUUCAUUUAGAAGGACUUUAAGUAACAGCUUUAGCUGAAAACUGGCUAUCAACAUUCAAUGAAAAAGGAGAACAAAAACUUGAAGCUUGAUUCAAAAUAUUUCAUAAAGUUCUCUCUACUUUUUAA